UGGUGGUGGUGUAUGGGUUUCGGUUUGUGGAGGUUCGGUUACGGGAGGGGUUUCGGUUACAGGUGGUGUUUCGGUUGAUGUGGUGAAUAUGGGUGGGGGUAUAGGGAAUGAGGUUGGUGGUAUAGUAGGGUUUAUGGUGGGAAUGGAAAUAGGUAUUGUGGGUGGAGGAGAAGGAACUGGGGAUUGGUGAAGUUCCAUCUCCGGGGUUGGGGACCGAGGGGGUGUGUUGCCUCGUUGUGGAGAUUCGUCUCCUUGUGAGCCCUCAGAGUCCGAACUCCCACCUUCGGAUUCGCUUGAGGAGGAAGGAAUAAGGAGCUUUCGCUUCGGUUGGGGUUUCCUCCUUUUCGGUUGUGGGGGUGAAGCAGCUUUCUGUUGUUUUCGCUUCUUGGGAGAAGGUCCCUUUGGAGCUUUGAACACUUUCUUCCCUUUGUCACCCUUUUUGCCCCUGGCCCCCGGUUUGUCGGCAUCAUGAACUUCUGUUGUUUUCGCUUCUUGGGAGAAGGUCCCUUUGGAGCUUUGAACACUUUCUUCCCUUUGUCACCCUUUUUGCCCCUGGCCCCCGGUUUGUCGGCAUCAUGAACCGAUCGCAGCAUGUCCGGUGUCAGUUCCCGCGGACCAGUUUGGCGAAACUCCUUGAUCGGUCUGAUCAGUCUGCUAUCAGCGGGCACAUCGGCAUACAUCGACUCCGGGAUAGAGCCAAUGAAGGAGAAUUUUGAUGCAUCAGAUACGAUGAUCUUCUUGGUAUGAAAGGUACCAAUAGAAGACAUCGGUGCACCGUCGGCUGUGGGAACGUUAAACUUGUCCAUGGCCCAUCUUGUGAUCAAGAUCCAGAACCAGGCCAGCGACACCUCGGAGUGUCAGGAAGAGGAAGAGAGGCUCUGAAUCAGUUGUUGCCAAAGGACAAACCCAUAGUCCAGAUUGAUCCCGUUGUACACCCCAUACAUAAUCGACAGGAAAAGACGACUGGCCCCGUCCGAUCCUGAGCUCCUCUCUGACAGUCCCUUGAAGAGAACUGUAAAUAACCCAUUCCACUGGGGCGGUAGGCAGGAUUUCUUGAACCUUGCUACGGAGGUGAGAACUUCCGUGUAGCCCAUGUUGUAGAACAUGUUGUACAGCAUACCAACCGGAAUCGUCUCCGGGUGAACUCGCGAUGGGUCAGCAGCAAACCCAAGCAUGGUGCAGAAGCGGGGGCGAGAAAUCGACGUUUUGUGUUCCGCCACUUCGAAGAAUACCCUGUCGACGGCCUUGUCGUAGUAAGUCGUUGCGUAGACCUGAGAUAAGGCCACCAUUGGCACUGUUUCAAUCCUUGACAGUGCAGGAGCAAGCUGGGAGUAUUUGAGACAUUCGAUGACCGGCGACAUAUAAGAAUCAUACGCCAGUGGGUUGAGAUCAAUCACGAGGCAUUGCUGAGGACGGAUUGGAAGAAUCUGAGAAGUAGCAUGGACGGAAGAGGAUUCAGCCAUUGUUGCAGGUUUGGAGAAGAAGAUAACCGGGAGAGAGUUUGGAAGUAUUUUUGCUUUGGAAAUUAUGGGGCAGUAAAGAGGUAAAAGGUGGUGUUGAUGGGUUUUUAUAGUAGGUGAUAGGAGAGAGAAAAAUCGUUUCAAAUCUCUUAUGGAAAUACGAAACGGGUUUUUGGAGUGACUGAUUGGUGACAGUUGGGACGUGCGAUGAUCACGUAGGAGAGAGAGUGUCAGAUUCCUAGGAUCACGCCGCCCAAUAAGCGCCGGUUCAGAGAAAGAAAUCGUUUCCAUUUCCACACGCGCCUGUAACUUCAGAGAUAUGACGCUUCGACAUUGCACACGCGUCCUCAAGUGUCAGAAAAAGCGCGGCCGUUUCAAAUUCACGCGCCCUCCUUUUUACCGUCGUUUGAAUUUCUAUCCUUUUAACUCCCGCCGAGUCAGCAACUUUUUGUCUUAUCCCCUUUUAAACGGCUGUUUCCAAUUAAUGAUCCACGUGGCUAAUUUUUGACCACAACUUCAUUUGUAACCAUCCAGUAAAUAUCCAGCCUGUAAAAUAAUUAGUAACGGAAUUUUUGAAAAUCUUGGAUUUUCGUGCAAAGAGUGUAAAAAAAAUAAAGAAGUAAAGCAACUCUUUUUAGGAUAAUCUGUGAUGUCAAUAAUGACACGAAACUGAUGAUCCCGGGCACGAAUCUCUUCCUUCAAGGUCAAGAAAGACCUCAAAGUGUUAGUGUGGAAUCCCGUUGAAUUACGAUCAAACAUUCAUUAAUAAAUGUUGAAAGGCUUCUUUUAAUAAGGCAAAUUAAGGGUGGUUUCGCUUUGAUUCAACAGUUCAAUUCUUGAUAUAAGAACGAACGUGAACAAAGUACUUGUGAGACCAGUGUAGUCUGUUGAACAAGUAGGUUUGAGUUGAUUUUGUAGUGGCUUGGAUUAAUAUGAAAUCUCAGAUAAAAAUUUAAAACUGGAUCCCUUGGGAAGAAAUGUCAUGGUGUGUAACAAUUUCAUUGGAACCACGCAAAAAGAAAAGAAAUUGAGAUUUCAUGAAGGUACAUUCGUCAAUUCAUUGGUGAAAACUUGAUCAAGUUAAUUGGUCACCGUCAAUUCGUUGGUGUUGAAUUUUGGGUUUCACUCAGCUCGUAGUGGCACGAA
rnacentral:lncRNA from 1 species